CUCCAGCUGACGAGUCCUUAAUAAGACCAAACGCGUGUCCUGGAU
rfam:Schistosoma mattheei strain Denwood, Zambia genome assembly, scaffold: SMTD_scaffold0001006